UACGAAGGAGGCUAGCGUUGCUCGGAAUCACUGGGCGUAAAGGGUGCGUAGGCGGGUUUUAAGUCAGGGUGAAAUCCUGGAGCUCAACUCCAGAACUGCCUUUGAUACUGAAGAUCUUGAGUCCGGGAGAGGUGAGUGGAACUGCGAGUGUAGAGGUGAAAUUCGUAGAUAUUCGCAAGAACACCAGUGGCGAAGGCGGCUCACUGGCCCGGUACUGACGCUGAGGCACGAAAGCGUGGGGAGCAAACAGG
rnacentral:rRNA from 1 species